GUCAGGGGUGAAAGACGGUGGCUCAACCAUCGCAGUGCCCUUGAUACUGAAGAGCUUGAAUACAUUAGAGGUAGGCGGAAUGUGACAAGUAGCGGUGAAAUGCAUAGAUAUGUCACAGAACACCGAUUGCGAAGGCAGCUUACUAUGAUGAGAUUGACGCUGAGGCACGAAAGCGUGGGGAUCAAACAGGAUUAGAUACCCUGGUAGUCCACGCCCUAAACGAUGAAUACUCGCUGUUAGCGAUACACAGUUAGCGGCUAAGCGAAAGCGUUAAGUAUUCCACCUGGGGAGUACGGACGCAAGAUUGAAACUCAAAGGAAUUGACGGGGGCCCGCACAAGCGGAGGAGCAUGUGGUUUAAUUCGAUGAUACGCGAGGAACCUUACCCGGGCUUGAAAGUUAGUGAAUCAUUUAGAGAUAGAUGAGUGAGCAAUCACACGAAACUAGGUGCUGCAUGGCUGUCGUCAGCUCGUGCCGUGAGGUGUUGGGUUAAGUCCCGCAACGAGCGCAACCCCUAUGUUUAGUUGCCAGCACGUUAAGGUGGGGACUCUAAACAGACUGCCUGUGCAAACAGAGAGGAAGGAGGGGACGACGUCAAGUCAUCAUGGCCCUUACGUCCGGGGCUACACACGUGCUACAAUGGAUGGUACAGAGGGCAGCAAGCUGGCAACAGCAAGCGAAUCUCCAAAAGCCAUUCACAGUUCGGAUAGAGGUCUGCAACUCGACCUCUUGAAGUUGGAUUCGCUAGUAAUCGCAUAUCAGCAAUGAUGCGGUGAAUACGUUCCCGGGCCUUGUACACACCGCCCGUCAAGCCAUGGAAGUUGGGGGUACCUAAA
rnacentral:rRNA from 1 species